rnacentral:lncRNA from 1 species
UCCAUCAAGAAUCAAUCUCUAGAUCAAUGGGAUUUUAAUCUAACUAAUUAUAAAUUCAAUUGGAGCCUAAUAGUUGGACUAGAAUCUAAUUAGUUAGUUUGUUAUAACUAAUUCCUAAGUUAGUUAGGAUUGAGUCCAAGAAUUAGUUAGAAUUUGAUCAAGAUCUUGAAUUCUAUUUAGAAUAGGACUUAACCAACUUGACAACCCAUGUGAUAUAAAAUCCUCCAUGGCUCCACACCU